GCGUAGGAAUCUACCUAGUAGAAGGGGAUAGCCCGAGGAAACUCGGAUUAAUACCGUAUACCUCCUUAGGGAGAAAGAGGGCUUAGCUUUGAUGCUCUCGCUAUUAGAUGAGCCUGCGUAAGAUUAGCUUGUUGGUGAGGUAAUGGCUCACCAAGGCGACGAUCUUUAGCUGGUCUGAGAGGACGAUCAGCCACAUUGGGACUGAGACACGGCCCAGACUCCUACGGGAGGCAGCAGUGGGGAAUAUUGGACAAUGGGCGCAAGCCUGAUCCAGCCAUACCGCGUGUGUGAAGAAGGCCU
rnacentral:rRNA from 1 species